UACGGAGGGAGCUAGCGUUGUUCGGAAUUACUGGGCGUAAAGCGCGCGUAGGCGGGCUGUUAAGUCAGAGGUGAAAUCCCGGGGCUCAACCCCGGAACUGCCUUUGAUACUGGCAGCCUAGAGGUCGAGAGAGGUGAGUGGAAUUCCGAGUGUAGAGGUGAAAUUCGUAGAUAUUCGGAGGAACACCAGCGGCGAAGGCGGCUCACUGGCUCGAUACUGACGCUGAGGUGCGAAAGUGUGGGUAGCAAACAGG
rnacentral:rRNA from 1 species